UUCCUUCCAGAUCUGUGGGGAGGAUGCGCUCAGGGACAUUAUAGAAGAUACAGACAAUCUGUGCCGUCCCAUGUCAAUGGCUACCCGAGCUACAGACAAACCUACCCGUCGCGUCACUACCCUACCUAUCCUCUACACCUACCUUCCUACCCUGAGCACUUAAACACCUACCCCGGACAUCAUGACCGUUAUCAACAAGGUCACCGAUGGAACCAGUGGGGAUCCCAUUCCGGCAGCCAGGGAUAUGGGUCUUACCGGGGAUGAAGAGCUCAAGAUGACUGACACUGCGUGCAUGACUUCUCGGCUUGAAAUCCUUACUACAUUGUGCAAUUACAAUUCUUGUGAAUAAACUUUGU